GAUGAACGCUAGCUACAGGCUUAACACAUGCAAGUCGAGGGGCAGCAUGAUUGAAGCUUGCUUCAAUCGAUGGCGACCGGCGCACGGGUGAGUAACACGUAUCCAACCUGCCGAUAACUCGGGGAUAGCCUUUCGAAAGAAAGAUUAAUACCCGAUAGUAUAGUAUUUCCGCAUGGUUUCACUAUUAAAGAACUUCGGUUAUCGAUGGGGAUGCGUUCUAUUAGAUAGUUGGCGGGGUAACGGCCCACCAAGUCAACGAUGGAUAGGGGUUCUGAGAGGAAGGUCCCCCACAUUGGAACUGAGACACGGUCCAAACUCCUACGGGAGGCAGCAGUGAGGAAUAUUGGUCAAUGGACGAGAGUCUGAACCAGCCAAGUAGCGUGAAGGAUGACUGCCCUAUGGGUUGUAAACUUCUUUUAUACGGGAAUAAAGUGGAGUAUGCAUACUCCUUUGUAUGUACCGUAUGAAUAAGGAUCGGCUAACUCCGUG
rnacentral:rRNA from 1 species